rnacentral:rRNA from 1 species
UACGAAGGGGGCAAGCGUUGUUCGGAAUUAUUGGGCGUAAAGGGCGCGUAGGCGGUUCGGCAAGUCUUUAGUGAAAUCUCUGGGCUCAACUCAGAGUCUGCUGGAGAAACUGCCGGGCUGGAGUAUGGGAGAGGUGAGUGGAAUUCCCGGUGUAGCGGUGAAAUGCGCAGAUAUCGGGAAGAACACCCGUGGCGAAGGCGGCUCUCUGGGACGGUACUGACGCUGAGACGCGAAAGCGUGGGGAGCGAACAGG